AACGCACAUUGCGCCCCGUGGUAUUCCGCGGGGCAUGCCUGUUCGAGCGUCAUUUCACCACUCAAGCCUCGCUUGGUAUUGGGCGUCGCGGCUCCGCGCGCCUCAAAGUCUCCGGCUGAGCUGUCCGUCUCCCAGCGUUGUGACACACGAUCGCUCCGAGUUCGAACAGUCGCGGCCGUUAAACUUAUCUUAAAGGUUGACCUCGGAUCAGGUAGGGAUACCCGCUGAACUUAA
rnacentral:misc_RNA from 1 species